CAUUCUAUAGAGCAAUGCACGCAGGGUGCAGCCCUACAUAUGCGGGGCAGCGCCUUCAUUCCUGCAUUGUGUCCAACAGGUGGCAGCAGAGAGCUGCAGCGCUCCCGAGUGCUGUAAGGACUGCACGGAGAGAUGUGCGGGUCUUCACGGGAACAGCCAGGAACCGAAAGCUGCAUUUCCCGGGAUGCCCUGGAACUCCACUUUGCUGACUGGUAAUUGUCUGCCCAGCAGGUGGCAGCAGAGAGCUGCAGCGCUCCCGAGUGCUGUAAGGACUGCACGGAGAGAUGUGCGGGUCUUCACGGGAACAGCCAGGAACCGAAAGCUGCAUUUCCCGGGAUGCCCUGGAACUCCACUUUGCUGACUGGUAAUUGUCUGCCCAGCAGGCAGGUCUUCAAUGAAGAUAUUGGACAGAACAGGCCUGAAGAGCACUCAGGAUGGCAUACCAGCUGCAUUUAACACGAUGGAGCAGCACUCAUUAGGCCAGGCGGUUCAGCUAGUUCUUCAUCUAGCAAGCAACGUACCCGUCCAAGUAGCCGGCUGCAAUCUUUCAGAGAAUUUCGAGGGAUAGCACAUCAAAGGGUUUGCCUCAUCAUGGGGUUGGGUCACCUUCGCUUUGAGUUUGCUAGCGUGGCUGACCCUAAUCCCGUAACUGACAUCCCGUAACUGACAUCCUGUAGCUGGACAGGGACCAUUCGCACUCCAUCCAGUCUGUUUGAGACUCACGGCCAUGCUGAGAGUCACACUGAUUUCAGCGCGUGCAGUCAUUUUGCAUCAACCCAAUUGGCUUUAGCUUUACAAAUAAUUUAUCUCAACC
ensembl:lncRNA